AUAACAAUAUAGUGCCUGAAUAUGUAAGAAAUAUUAGAGACUAUAUAUGUGUGUGUGUGUGUGUGUGUGUAUAUAUAUAUCCACACACAUAUAUACAUAUAUACACACACAUACAC
rnacentral:miRNA from 1 species